GACACCAUAGCCAAGUGGUUACGGCGACAGAUUCGAAUACUUCGAAGCAUCUGUUGGGGUUUCCCCGCGUAGGUUCGAAUCCUGCUGGUGUCG